AUACGGAGGGUGCAAGCGUUAAUCGGAAUUACUGGGCGUAAAGCGCUCGUAGGCGGUUUGUUACGUCGGAUGUGAAAGCCCCGGGCUCAACCUGGGAACUGCAUUCGAAACUGAUAGACUAGAGUAUGAUAGAGGAAAGUGGAAUUCCAGGUGUAGCGGUGAAAUGCAUAGAUAUCUGGAGGAACAUCAGUGGCGAAGGCGGCUUUCUGGAUCAAUACUGACGCUGAGGUGCGAAAGCGAGGGGAGCAAACAGGAUUAGAAACCCCGGUAGUCC
rnacentral:rRNA from 1 species